GGGGAAUAUUGGACAAUGGGGGGAACCCUGAUCCAGCCAUGCCGCGUGUGUGAAGAAGGCCUUAUGGUUGUAAAGCACUUUAAGCGAGGAGGAGGCUCUUUUGGCUAAUACCCAAGAUGAGUGGACGUUACUCGCAGAAUAAGCACCGGCUAACUCUGUGCCAGCAGCCGCGGUAAUACAGAGGGGGCGGGCGUUAAUCGGAUUUACUGGGCGUAAAGCGUACGUAGGCGGCUUUUUAAGUCGGAUGUGAAAUCCCCGAGCUUAACUUGGGAAUUGCAUUCGAUACUGGGAAGCUAGAGUAUGGGAGAGGAUGGUAGAAUUCCAGGUGUAGCGGUGAAAUGCGUAGAGAUCUGGAGGAAUACCGAUGGCGAAGGCAGCCAUCUGGCCUAAUACUGACGCUGAGGCUCGAAAGCGUGGGGAGCAAAC
rnacentral:rRNA from 1 species